UUAACAUUUAAUGUCUCACUUCAUGUGCUUCUCUUUUGUUUCAGCUCUUCUGGAAACAGUUUCACUUGUUGGAGAAGUUUCGGAAACUGGACAAAGUCAGCAUGUAUGUCAGAAUCAGACCGGAUGAUAGGAGUGCUUGUCAUACCGCUGAUGUGUGCGUCAGCCGUUGUUGAAUAGCGAUGUAUCAGCAGGAAAACAACGACAUGUUUCUCAGGGAACACAGGAUGAUAGGAGUCAUGAUGUGUGCGUCAGCGUCUCCGAGGCGUAGCUCUCUGAGCGGCUGCAGGCGUCUGAUCUCUGAACGCUCCCAUCAAACAGAUUACAGACGGAAAUACCUGACGGCGCGCUGGCAGACAAAAGAGAGGCGAGGACGGAGGGAGAGUGUGUGCUCAGGCUGAAGACUUUAUUUCCUGUGACACUCUGAACCAAUAUUGUAAUUUGUAUUAGUUUAAUCAUAUUCUUGGUUGUUCUUUAGUGUUGAAGUGUCCCAUGAAGGCCUUUACAUCUUGAGAGAGGGUGUUUUUCUGGUGCAAAUGUCAGUGGUGGGAGAUGGAAGUAAAAGUAUUAACACCACACUGAAAAAAUACUCUGUUACAAGUCAAAGUCCUGCAUUUAAAAUGUUAUUUAGGUAAAAGAAAGUAAGUAUAAUCAGCAACAUGUAGUUAAAGCUUUAAACGUGAAAGCACCCAAUGCAAAAAAGAACUAAAAUAAAAUGUAAAAAACACCAACAAAAAUCUUCAAAAUCAUAAAAAAUGACUCAAACAGAUGCAAUCUUUAAAUCUGUUAAUUGACGACGAAGCUGGUUCUUCUAUAAUAAUAAUAAUAAUAAUUCCUUACAUUUAUUAUAGUGCUUUUCCAGAUGCUCAAAGUGCUUUACAAACAUUACACACACAUAUCAUGCACUGUGGACAAUACCCACAGGAGCAAGUUCAGGUGGAGUGUCUUGCCUAAGGACACGACGACUUUACAGACGCAGCAGCGGCGGCUUUCGAACUGGUGUUCCCCAAAGCACAGCCCACUGCGCCACUCCGCCCAUCUUCACACCUCAAAGUCAUCAAGGCGCUUUCCAAGUACACAUUACACACAUAUCAUACAUGUAACGGUCAUGUACUGCGUAUGGCAAGCCAAUUGAGCAUUUAUUCCAUUUCCUUGAUAUCAGACAGCAGCUGCCUACACUAGUCUUUGAUUUCACUUGUUAGAUAUAUGGACAAAGUUCUGAUGUUUUUGUUUUCCCUCUUUAAACUCUGGCUGAACUUUAAAGUCCGUUCAGGCUUCCUGUUGGACUUAUCAGGAGGUCAGCAGGUCAGCAGGCCGUGACCUCUGACCCCGGGCUUCCUUGUUAUUGCUCGUCUUUGUUUUGAAGUUGUUUGUUUCUGCUGCUGCUGCUGCUG